rnacentral:rRNA from 1 species
CCUACGGGUGGCUGCAGUGGGGAAUAUUGGACAAUGGGCGAAAGCCUGAUCCAGCCAUGCCGCGUGUGUGAAGAAGGCCUUCGGGUUGUAAAGCACUUUCAGUGGGGAAGAAAGCCUUGGGGCUAAUACCCUCGAGGAAGGACAUCACCCACAGAAGAAGCACCGGCUAACUCCGUGCCAGCAGCCGCGGUAAUACGGAGGGUGCGAGCGUUAAUCGGAAUUACUGGGCGUAAAGCGCGCGUAGGCGGUCUGAUAAGCCGGUUGUGAAAGCCCCGGGCUCAACCUGGGAACGGCAUCCGGAACUGUCAGGCUAGAGUGCAGGAGAGGAAGGUAGAAGUCCCGGUGUAGCGGUGAAAUGCGGAGAGAUCGGGAGGAAUACCAGUGGCGAAGGCGGCCUUCUGGACUGACACUGACGCUGAGGUGCGAAAGCGUGGGUAGCAAACAGGAUUAGAUACCCUUGUAGUC